GCAAGAGGAAGAGCAGAGAUGAAAUAUCCCUACCCAGAAUUUCUGGUUUGAAAAGAGAUGAAGGCAGCAAGAGGGUUGGAAGAGACUAUGAAUACUUCCAUAAAAAGAGCCAUGAUCUUUUAAAAAUUUCUGUUCACCUAUACACAGUCUUACUUGAGCCCCAGGAUCUUCUCACAACUAUCACUUUCCCUUUCAAUAUGGGAAAUAAUAUUCCUAAAAAUGCAGAGAAAGGAAUGAUGGAGAAAACAAUGGAGAAUAUGAUGGAGAAGAAGAAGGGAAAGACAACAGAAAAAAAGAUAAAGAUGGCAGAGGUGAGGUGAAAGCAGAGGGAAGGGGCAUGAGGAAGGGAAAAGACUUGUGAUCUACUUACACUUUGGCCCAGCUUAGAAACAUAAACACACACAUAAGAACCAAGUUUGACUGAUCUCCUCCAGCCUUGAGUUCUUGUCAUUGUCAUCAUCAUUAUCAUCAUCAGUAAUGACUUCAUUUAUUCAUCCAUUUAGCAAUUCUUUAAGAAUAUGUGCCAGGAAUAAGAAUGGGGGUGAAAAACUCAACUGACAUAGUCCUUGCUCACAGAGCUUAGAGUCUAGUAGGGGUGAUAGGCAAUAAUCAAACAUGCAAAUAAAUGUGAAGUUACCACUGUAACGCA
rnacentral:lncRNA from 1 species